AUCUACUUUUAUUCUUUCCCGCUAUCUCGAGCAUUAGACAGAAAAAGAGCCAUGGCAAGUAUCGCCAAAGUUGAAAACAUAUAUUACUUCUUCAUGGUUUUCAUUGUUCUAGUUGGUCUUCACGAGUGUACGGAAAAUAUCCCAAGGAGGAGCACUGAUGAAAAGAAUGUGGCGAAGACGUUUGGGCAAAACGAUGUCAACUUAUCAUCUGCCAAUUUGUUGUGUAUUAAGCAGACUUGCCUAAAUUUGUUACCUUGUUGGUGCUGCACCCAACAAAUGUUCGGAUGUUAUCCAACAGAAAAUAUGUGUCAGUCCGUAUGCAAGGCUUAAUUAGCCGGCACAAGCUCCUCAAUUGAGAAUAUGUUGGCACUAAUAAUGACAAUCAUGGAGGAGUUUCUUUCUUAAUAGUCCUUUCCGAUAAGAUUUUAUAGCAAUUGUGAGUGGACUGGAGAUUGCUAAAGAAAUUAUUUAAGUGGCAUAAAUUUGAAACCCAUAUCAACUUUUUUCUU